rnacentral:rRNA from 1 species
AGAGUUUGAUCCUGGCUCAGGAUGAACGCUAGCUGACCCUUAAUACAUCAAGUCGAGCGGGAUGGUAGAAAAACAUGAGAGCGGCGGACGGGUGAGUAACGCGUACACGACCUACCUUUGACUGGGGGAUAGCCCUGGGAAACUGGGAUUAAUACCGCAUAUAAUUCUGAAUAAUAAAGGUUUGGAAUGAAAGUUCAGGCGGUCAGAGAUGGGUGUGCGUCUGAUUAGCUAGUUGGUAAGGUAACGGCUUACCAAGGCGAUGAUCAGUAGGGGGCGUGAGAGCGUGAUCCCCCACACGGGUACUGAGACACGGACCCGACUCCUACGGGAGGCAGCAGUAAGGAAUAUUGGACAAUGGCCGCAAGGCUGAUCCAGCCAUCCAGCGUGCAGGAAGAAGGCCCUACGGGUUGUAAACUGCUUUUGUCAGGGAAUAAACCUGUGGAUUACUCCGCAGCGAACGCCCGAAGAUAGCCCGC